rnacentral:rRNA from 1 species
CCUACGGGUGGCUGCAGUGGGGAAUAUUGGACAAUGGGCGAAAGCCUGAUCCAGCCAUGCCGCGUGUGUGAAGAAGGCCUUCGGGUUGUAAAGCACUUUCAGUGGGGAAGAAAGCCUUGGGGCUAAUACCCUCGAGGAAGGACAUCACCCACAGAAGAAGCACCGGCUAACUCCGUGUCAGCAGCCGCGGUAAUACGGAGGGUGCGAGCGUUAAUCGGAAUUACUGGGCGUAAAGCGCGCGUAGGCGGUCUGAUAAGCCGGUUGUGAAAGCCCCGGGCUCAACCUGGGAACGGCAUCCGGAACUGUCAGGCUAGAGUGCAGGAGAGGAAGGUAGAAUUCCCGGUGUAGCAGUGAAAUGCGUAGAGAUCGGGAGGAAUACCAGUGGCGAAGGCGGCCUUCUGGACUGACACUGACGCUGAGGUGCGAAAGCGUGGGUAGCAAACAGGAUUAGAUACCCUAGUAGUC